UCUGUGCCUGUGAUGGUUCUAAAUAUACUCCGAGAGAGUAAUCUCUGUGAAAUCAAUUUGAUCUGAGGCAAAGG